UCUGUGAUGGCUAUUAUUGGUUGUCAACUUGACUACAUCUGGAAUGAGCUACAAUCCAGAAUGGAGAGCACACCUGUGAGAGACAUGCUUGCUUGGUUUGAAGUGAGUGAAUCCACUUCCGCUCUGGACCUUUGAGGUAGGGAGACACACAGCUUUGCUCCAGCUCUUAGGCGGGAAGACACACAAGCCUUUAAUUCAGAUCUUGAGGAGGGAAGACACAACUUUAGUCUGGGCCACACCUUCUGCUGGAAGCCUUAGAAGGAAAUAGAAGAAGGAAGCUUACACUCUUUGCACACCCGUUUCUUCACUGUCAUUAGAGCCUAAUUCUUUGGGAUCCCACCGUCUACUGAAGACCAGCUGAGACAUCCAGCCUGGUGGACUGAGCAACUACUGGAUUCUUUGACUUUCCAUUCAGUCAACCAUUGUUGAAUUAGCUGGACUUCAGUCUGUGCCAACUCUUCUGAUGAGAAGAAAUGGCUAUAGUGUCUACCUCCAGGAAUACUCAUGGUGGGAAGAAUGUCAUGGACGGCAAAUGGAUCAGAGAGAAGGCCACCUGGGCCACCUUUCAGGGCUACGUUCCGUGUGCCAAAUUUCCUGAGAACGACUUGGAAAUACAGAGCAGUUUUAUGUAGAAAUCCUGUAUAACACUCCUGGUAUAACACUCCACAUAAUUGGAAAAAAUGUAGACUGGACCUCUUGCCCAAGUACAAAAUGCCUUUGGGUCAAAGUAGAAAAAAAAAGCUUUGCCAGCAACCCCCUGCUUCAGCUGCCUAGUUUAGUGGACAUGCUCAGGCAAGCGAGGUCAGCUGAGCCGCUGGAAUCAGAGUGUAUGGAUGUAAAAGUCUUUCCUUUGGCGACUCAUUUUCUUAUCUAAAUUAAAAACCCUUGCUAGUC